rnacentral:rRNA from 1 species
UACGUAGGGUGCGAGCGUUGUCCGGAAUUAUUGGGCGUAAAGAGCUUGUAGGCGGUUUGUCGCGUCUGCCGUGAAAAUCCGAGGCUCAACCUCGGACUUGCAGUGGGUACGGGCAGACUAGAGUGUGGUAGGGGAGACUGGAAUUCCUGGUGUAGCGGUGAAAUGCGCAGAUAUCAGGAGGAACACCGAUGGCGAAGGCAGGUCUCUGGGCCACUACUGACGCUGAGAAGCGAAAGCAUGGGGAGCGAACAGG